rnacentral:rRNA from 1 species
UGAGGAAUAUUGCGCAAUGGGGGCAACCCUGACGCAGCAACGCCGCGUGAGUGAAGAAGGCCUUCGGGUUGUAAAGCUCUGUCAGGCGGGAAGAAACCUUCAUGGUAAAUAGCCAUGAAUCUGACGGUACCGCCAAAGGAAGCACCGGCUAACUCCGUGCCAGCAGCCGCGGUAAGACGGAGGGUGCGAGCGUUGUUCGGAAUCACUGGGCGUAAAGCGCGUGUAGGCGGCCUGAUUAGUCGAGUGUGAAAGCCCGAGGCUUAACCUCGGAAGUGCAUUCGAAACUGUCAGGCUUGAGUACGGGAGAGGGUAGUGGAAUUCCUGGUGUAGAGGUGAAAUUCGUAGAUAUCAGGAGGAACACCGGUGGCGAAGGCGGCUACCUGGACCGAUACUGACGCUGAGACGCGAAAGCGUGGGGAGCAAACA